UACGAAGGGUGCAAGCGCUGUCCGGAAUCACUGGGCGUAAAGGGCGCGUAGGCGGCUCAUGAAGGCUGUGGUGAAAGUCCGGGGCUCAACCUCGGAUCGGCCGUGGCGACUCGUGGGCUGGAGCACUGUAGAGGCAGAUGGAAUUCCCGGUGUAGCGGUGGAAUGCGUAGAGAUCGGGAAGAACAUCGGUGGCGAAGGCGGUCUGCUGGGCCGUUGCUGACGCUGAGGCGCGACAGCGUGGGGAGCAAACAGG
rnacentral:rRNA from 1 species